GCCCCUGUUGUCUAAUGGUUAUGAUUUCAGACUUCUAAUCUGAAGGUUGCGGGUUCGAGUCCCGCCAGGGGUU